rnacentral:rRNA from 1 species
UAGCUACAGGCUUAACACAUGCAAGUCGAGGGGCAUCAGGAAGAAAGCUUGCUUUCUUUGCUGGCGACCGGCGCACGGGUGAGUAACACGUAUCCAACCUGCCCUUUACUCGGGGAUAGCCUUUCGAAAGAAAGAUUAAUACCCGAUAGCAUAAUGAUUCCGCAUGGUUUCAUUAUUAAAGGAUUCCGGUAAAGGAUGGGGAUGCGUUCCAUUAGGUUGUUGGUGAGGUAACGGCCCACCAAGCCUUCGAUGGAUAGGGGUUCUGAGAGGAAGGUCCCCCACAUUGGAACUGAGACACGGUCCAAACUCCUACGGGAGGCAGCAGUGAGGAAUAUUGGUCAAUGGGCGCUAGCCUGAACCAGCCAAGUAGCGUGAAGGAUGAAGGCUCUAUGGGUCGUAAACUUCUUUUAUAUAAGAAUAAAGUGCAGUAUGUAUACUGUUUUGUAUGUAUUAUAUGAAUAAGGAUCGGCUAACUCCGUGCCAGCAGCCGCGGUAAUACGGAGGAUCCGAGCGUUAUCCGGAUUUAUUGGGUUUAAAGGGAGCGUAGGUGGACUGGUAAGUCAGUUGUGAAAGUUUGCGGCUCAACCGUAAAAUUGCAGUUGAUACUGUCAGUCUUGAGUACAGUAGAGGUGGGCGGAAUUCGUGGUGUAGCGGUGAAAUGCUUAGAUAUCACGAAGAACUCCGAUUGCGAAGGCAGCUCACUGGACUGCAACUGACACUGAUGCUCGAAAGUGUGGGUAUCAAACAGGAUUAGAUACCCUGGUAGUCCACACAGUAAACGAUGAAUACUCGCUGUUUGCGAUAUACAGUAAGCGGCCAAGCGAAAGCAUUAAGUAUUCCACCUGGGGAGUACGCCGGCAACGGUGAAACUCAAAGGAAUUGACGGGGGCCCGCACAAGCGGAGGAACAUGUGGUUUAAUUCGAUGAUACGCGAGGAACCUUACCCGGGCUUAAAUUGCAGUGGAAUGAUGUGGAAACAUGUCAGUGAGCAAUCACCGCUGUGAAGGUGCUGCAUGGUUGUCGUCAGCUCGUGCCGUGAGGUGUCGGCUUAAGUGCCAUAACGAGCGCAACCCUUAUCUUUAGUUACUAACAGGUUAUGCUGAGGACUCUAGAGAGACUGCCGUCGUAAGAUGUGAGGAAGGUGGGGAUGACGUCAAAUCAGCACGGCCCUUACGUCCGGGGCUACACACGUGUUACAAUGGGGGGUACAGAAGGCAGCUAGCGGGUGACCGUAUGCUAAUCCCAAAAUCCUCUCUCAGUUCGGAUCGAAGUCUGCAACCCGACUUCGUGAAGCUGGAUUCGCUAGUAAUCGCGCAUCAGCCACGGCGCGGUGAAUACGUUCCCGGGCCUUGUACACACCGCCCGUCAAGCCAUGGGAGCCGGGGGUACCUGAAGUACGUAACCGCAAGGAUCGUCCUAGGGUAAAACUGGUGACUGGG